rnacentral:rRNA from 1 species
AGAGUUUGAUCCUGGCUCAGGAUGAACGCUGGCGGCGUGCUUAACACAUGCAAGUCGAACGAGGUUAGUAAACGGAAGUUUUCGGAUGGAAGAUUACUAACCGAGUGGCGGACGGGUGAGUAACGCGUGGAGAACCUGCCCCGUACAGGGGGAUACCAAUUAGAAAUGAUUGUUAAUACCGCAUAAGCGCACACUAUCGCAUGGUAGAGUGUGAAAAGCUCCGGCGGUACGGGAGGGCUCCGCGUCUGAUUAGCCAGUUGGCGGGGUAACGGCCCACCAAAGCGAUGAUCAGUAGCCGACCUGAGAGGGCGAACGGCCACAUUGGGACUGAGACACGGCCCAAACUCCUACGGGAGGCAGCAGUGGGGAAUAUUGCACAAUGGGGGAAACCCUGAUGCAGCGACGCCGCGUGAGUGAAGAAGUAUUUCGGUAUGUAAAGCUCUAUCAGCAGGGAAGAAAAUGACGGUACCUGACUAAGAAGCCCCGGCUAACUACGUGCC